AAUGAACAUCCUCAUCUUCAUCGUUCAUCUUGAUUGCACCCAUGACCGUUCAUUGCCUUUAUCAUCAUCUAUCUAAGCCAACGACCUCGCACCCAUGCCUUUCCUUUAACCCUCGCACCCGACCCUCUCUCUGUGGAACCCUAUUGCUGUUUCUCAACCCUUGCCCAUCAAUGCAACCCUUGUUAGCCCUCUGUCUGUCGCACCACCAACGCAUCAACGCAUCGGCGUGGCCUCCUACUCCCUCAGCGGUCUCUCUCUCGCAAACCCUCGUUGGAUUCGGAAUCCUCAAUUGUUGCCGUCUCUCCCUCAAUCAACACCGUAAACACUGAUUAGGGUUUUCAGAAGUUUUUGUGGUGGAUUCAGCACUACCAAUACGGUGAAUAGACCUAAACAGGAGCUCAAUGUGGAGAUGCAAGUUUUAAUUAAUGAUGGAUCGCAAAGCAGAUAAAAUUAUAUAUGAUAGAAAUGAAGCUGGCUAAUCUUGGGCAUGCAC